AAACAUCAUCAUUUAAAUGAUAAUGUAUUACAUUUGCCACAAAAGCAGCAAAUUGUUCUUUACCUACAGCUAUAAGCUGUACAAAUGUAACAGCUACAUGAGACAACAGCUACAUGAGACAACAGCUACAUGAGACAACAGCUACAUGAGACAACAGCUACAUGAGACAACAGCUACAUGAGACAACAGCUACAUGAGACAACAGCUACAUGAGACAACAGCUACAUGAGACAACAGUUACAUGAGACAACAGCUACAUGAGACAACAGCUACAUGAGACAACAGCUACAUGAGACAACAGCUACAUGAGACAACAGCUACAUGAGACAACAGCUACAUGAGACAACAGCUAGGAGCUGUGGUGGGGUGAUAGUGGAGAGUGUGUGGUUGUUGUUGACACUAGGGAGUAUGGUGGUGUGACACUAGGGGGACUUUGGUGGUGUUUGACACUAGGGGGACUUUCGUGGUGUGUGACAUUAGGGGACUUUGGUGGUGUUUGACACUAGGGGGACUUUGAUGGUGUUUAACACUAGGGGGACUUUGGUGGUGUGACACUAGGGGGACUUUGGUGGUGUGUGACACUAGGGGGACUUUGGUGUCGUGACAUCAGAGAGUUGGUCCAAAAA